UUUGAGUUGCAUGGAAUGAAGCAGUGGCUUCUUGAGGAAGAUCGCCUCUUGGGAAGGAAGGGAAUGAUCGCAACAAGAGUCACAGAAGAAAGCUGUUCUGGUGUCAAUUCUUUGGAAUACAGAGAAAACUAGCUCAAGCCCUGAAAUGGCUAUUUUGCACCUGUCUGCCACCUCAUCUGUCUGCUCCUGUCUGCCAUAUGAAGACGUGCUGUCUUACUAGCAAAGUAUCUGUGCUAGAAUAUGGAUUUAAUAACAGGGCACAUUUGGAAGAUGUACACUGCUGAAAGAGUUCUGAACAAUCACAUCUUUACUGUACACAGAGGCCCACAGAUGUCUUGCAAGGACAUAAUUAACCAGGAGAAUUUUUAAGGUGCUGCCCACACAAAGAUACUAAAGAAGAGAAGGAAAGUUCAAGAAAUAACCACUGGACUGUGAUUUGUUAAAGCAAAGAAAAGUGUCCUGGAAGGAUGAGAAAAAAGGGAUUGUGUUCCCAAUCCCACCUGGUGCUGCACAGCUUUGUGCAGCUGAAGGAGGGUACUGAGUUCCAUGUUUGCAGACAUACAGGGAUCUGCUAUCCAAAUACUGAAAUCACUGUUGGGAAGAGAAGACGUUUUUUGCCUGCUCUCCAACCGGAGAGGUUGUUCAAUGUCUCUGUUUGCUUUUUCAUCUAUGCCAUUCACUCUGUGUUUUAACAAUCUGAUUCCACAGAUUGCCUCCAAUUACACAUUAUUUUCAUUAUAAUUUGUAUCUGCUUUUC
rnacentral:lncRNA from 7 species